AGAGUGAGAAGGAUGCUGGGAUAGAGACAGGUGGAGAUUGGCCCCAGAACAUUGAUGGAGACAGCACCAGAAAACUGAGGACCAGGCUGACACAGGUGGCAAAGACCCAUCCCUGAGGGACCUUGGGUGACAUAAGGAAGUUCGAGUCCCUAAUCAGGACAUCACCAUCAAGCCAGAGCCUGCAGAUGUCAGAGCAGUUUACUCAAGACCUCACAUGAACCCUGCAUGGAAAGCCAACAUUCCAGGAAUGGGAUUAUGGUCAAGAAAAACAAGCUGAGCUUGCUGACACAUGCCUUUAACCCAAGGGCUCAAGGGGCAGAAACAGGCACAUCUCUGAGCUUCAGGCCAGCCUGGUCUACACAGUGAAUUCCAGCACAGCCAGAGCUAUGAAGAGAGCCAUUGCCUCAAGAAAAACCAAGUAACAACCACAACACUAGAAAUAAAAAAAAUAAAAUAAAAAUAUUUGAGAACCAGAAA